rnacentral:rRNA from 1 species
UACGAAGGGGGCUAGCGUUGCUCGGAAUCACUGGGCGUAAAGCGCACGUAGGCGGCUUUCUAAGUCAGGGGUGAAAUCCUGGAGCUCAACUCCAGAACUGCCUUUGAUACUGGAGAGCUUGAGUCCGGGAGAGGUGAGUGGAACUCCGAGUGUAGAGGUGAAAUUCGUAGAUAUUAGGAAGAACACCAGUGGCGAAGGCGGCUCACUGGUCCGGUACUGACGCUGAGGUGCGAAAGCGUGGGGAGCAAACAGG